GGUACAAAGGUAAAAAGAGUAAAAGCAUUAUAUUGUUAUAGGCAACUAUUUACUCAGAGAAACACCCAUUUUGUAAGCAGCAUUAUCUUUAUUGCAGAUACUAUUUGACUAACCUGAUAUUAAAUGUAACUAAAAAAGAUCCAAUACCUGAACUCUAACUGAAUUGUAUCAGGCCUCACAAUUCAUUAUUCCCUUUCAGUUAUCAGAAAUAUUGGGUUUGUACUGAGUCAAGCAGGCAUAUAUACAGGGAAGGAUUAUGAAGCUGUUCCAGA